GGAACCUUCGGGGGGGACCUGCAGCCCCGGCUGCUGCUGCUGCUGCUGGUCGGUAAAGACGAAGGAUCCCAUGGAUCCGAAAAUACCCCGCGAGCGGGUGAAUGGGGAACGUGAAUUGUUAAUAGUUGGAUUCAUCUUAUUCCACCACUUUAUGUUCCCUGUGCUUUCGAUAUUUGCUGCCGUUCUCUGUGUUGUGCCGCUCUCUCCAGAUAUUCGUACUGAAGAAUAUUCAUGCCGUGGACUAUGAGCCGAUCUCGCAUUGCAUUUACUGGAUCGAAGGCAGAAGUCACAGGAUCAAGCGUUCGCUGGCAAAUGGCCUAAAGGUCAGCUUGUUGGCUAACUCUGGACAUUGCCAUCGAGGGCUCUGGUCUGCGGUGGUACCACCAACUGUGACAAUGUCCACGAUGAGGUCGACUGCUGCAAGCGGCCAGAAAAGUUUUAGUGUCCCAUCAACAAGUCCAAAGUAACAUCAGAAAUGUCGGAGGAGGACUGCUCGGGCGGAUCCUCGUUCAUGUGCUGGAUGACGACCACAUUGCAUGAAUCUCCGGCUGGAGUACUGGGGCCGUGCCAGGCGGAUAUAGCGGUUGAGGUCGCCCACCUUGUGGGUCAGAUUGAAGCGGAUUGCCAUCGGAGAGACGCAGCUGGACCGUCGUCAUGGCCGACUUCUCGUUAAGGCUCAGUCUGCCUUUGGUAUGCUGCUCCGGCAAGACCCGCACAGAGCCAAAGGAUGACCAGGCUUCGGAUCCGCUUGCCCUCAACUCUCAGCAAGUCGGAGCGCGUGUCCAAUAUCUCCUCCAAGGCGUCUACGGUGUUUCAUAAUUUUUAGAACUCUACUCGAACUCUUGUCCUUACAAAAUUUCUUUAAUUAAAAGACUGUACUGAUACAUAGUUGGACAUUA